rnacentral:rRNA from 1 species
CGGCGAACGGGUGAGUAACACGUAGGUGAUCUGCCCAUCAGACGGGGACAACGAUUGGAAACGAUCGCUAAUACCGGAUAGGACGAAAGUUUAAAGAUGCUCCUGGCAUCACUGAUGGAUGAGCCUGCGGCGCAUUAGCUAGUUGGUGGGGUAAAGGCCUACCAAGGCGAUGAUGCGUAGCCGACCUGAGAGGGUGAACGGCCACACUGGGACUGAGACACGGCCCAGACUCCUACGGAAGGCAGCAG